rnacentral:rRNA from 1 species
GAUGAACGCUGGCGGCGUGCCUAACACAUGCAAGUCGAGCGAACCCUUCGGGGUGAGCGGCGGACGGGUGAGUAACGCGUGGGUAACCUGCCCUAUACACACGGAUAACAUACCGAAAGGUAUGCUAAUACGAGAUAAAAUAAGAGAUUCGCAUGGAUUUCUUAUCAAAGCUCCGGCGGUAUAGGAUGGACCCGCGUCUGAUUAGCUAGUUGGUAAGGUAACGGCUUACCAAGGCGACGAUCAGUAGCCGACCUGAGAGGGUGAUCGGCCACAUUGGAACUGAGACACGGUCCAAACUCCUACGGGAGGCAGCAGUGGGGAAUAUUGCACAAUGGGCGAAAGCCUGAUGCAGCAACGCCGCGUGAGCGAUGAAGGCCUUCGGGUCGUAAAGCUCUGUCCUCAAGGAAGAUAAUGACGGUACUUGAGGAGGAAGCCCCGGCUAACUACGUGCCAGCAGCCGCGGUAAUACGUAGGGGGCUAGCGUUAUCCGGAAUUACUGGGCGUAAAGGGUGCGUAGGUGGUUUCUUAAGUCAGAGGUGAAAGGCUACGGCUCAACCGUAGUAAGCCUUUGAAACUGAGAAACUUGAGUGCAGGAGAGGAGAGUAGAAUUCCUAGUGUAGCGGUGAAAUGCGUAGAUAUUAGGAGGAAUACCAGUUGCGAAGGCGGCUCUCUGGACUGUAACUGACACUGAGGCACGAAAGCGUGGGGAGCAAAUAGGAUUAGAUACCCUGGUAGUCCACGCCGUAAACGAUGAGUACUAGCUGUCGGAGGUUACCCCCUUCGGUGGCGCAGCUAACGCAUUAAGUACUCCGCCUGGGAAGUACGCUCGCAAGAGUGAAACUCAAAGGAAUUGACGGGGACCCGCACAAGUAGCGGAGCAUGUGGUUUAAUUCGAAGCAACGCGAAGAACCUUACCUAAGCUUGACAUCCUUCUGACCUCUCCUUAAUCGGAGAUUUCCCUUCGGGGACAGAAGUGACAGGUGGUGCAUGGUUGUCGUCAGCUCGUGUCGUGAGAUGUUGGGUUAAGUCCCGCAACGAGCGCAACCCUUGCCUUUAGUUGCCAGCAUUAAGUUGGGCACUCUAGAGGGACUGCCAGGGAUAACCUGGAGGAAGGUGGGGAUGACGUCAAAUCAUCAUGCCCCUUAUGCUUAGGGCUACACACGUGCUACAAUGGGUGGUACAGAGGGCAGCCAAGUCGUGAGGCGGAGCUAAUCCCUUAAAGCCAUUCUCAGUUCGGAUUGUAGGCUGAAACUCGCCUACAUGAAGCUGGAGUUACUAGUAAUCGCAGAUCAGAAUGCUGCGGUGAAUGCGUU